rnacentral:rRNA from 1 species
UACGGGGGGGGCAAGCGUUGUUCGGAAUUACUGGGCGUAAAGGGCUCGUAGGCGGCUUUGUAAGUCAGACGUGAAAUCCCCAGGCUCAACCUGGGAACUGCGUCUGAUACUGGAUGGCUUGAAUCCGGGAGAGGGAUGCAGAAUUCCAGGUGUAGCGGUGAAAUGCGUAGAUAUCAGGAGGAACACCAAUGGCGAAGGCAGCUCGCUGGAACGGUACUGACGCUGAGGCGCGAAAGCGUGGGGAGCGAACAGG